rnacentral:rRNA from 1 species
GCUCCCAUUUCUCAGCGGCGGACGGGUGAGUAACACGUGGGCAACCUGCCCUACAGACUGGGAUAACUCCGGGAAACCGGAGCUAAUACCGGGUAAUACGUAGCAUCGCAUGAUGCAACGUUGAAAGUUGGCCUUUGGCUAACACUGUAGGAUGGGCCCGCGGCGCAAUAGCUAGUUGGUAAGGUAACGGCUUACCAAGGCCACGAUGCGUAGCCCACCUGAGAGGGUGAUCGGCCACACUGGGACUGAGACACGGCCCAGACUCCUACGGGAGGCAGCAGUAGGGAAUCUUCCGCAAUGGACGAAAGUCUGACGGAGCAACGCCCCGUGAGUGACGAAAGCCUUCGGGUCGUAAAGCUCUGUUGUUAGGGAAGAACAAGUACCGUUCGAAUAGGGCGGUACCUUGACGGUACCUAACCAGAAAGCCACGGCUAACUACGUGCCAGCAGCCGCGGUAAUACGUAGGUGGCAAGCGUUGUCCGGAAUUAUUGGGCGUAAAGCGCGCGCAGGCGGUCUCUUAAGUCUGAUGUGAAAGCCCACGGCUCAACCGUGGAGGGCCAUUGGAAACUGGGGGACUUGAGUGCAGAAGAGGAGAGUGGAAUUCCACGUGUAGCGGUGAAAUGCGUAGAUAUGUGGAGGAACACCAGUGGCGAAGGCGGCUCUCUGGUCUGUAACUGACGCUGAGGCGCGAAAGCGUGGGGAGCGAACAGGAUUAGAUACCCUGGUAGUCCACGCCGUAAACGAUGAGUGCUAGGUGUUGGGGGCUUCCACCCUCAGUGCUGAAGUUAACACAUUAAGCACUCCGCCCGGGGGAGUACGACCGCAAGGUUGAAACUCAAAGGAAUUGACGGGGGCCC